rnacentral:rRNA from 1 species
AGGGCAUGCCUGUUUGAGCGUCGUU